GUGGGGAAUUUUGGACAAUGGGCGAAAGCCUGAUCCAGCAAUGCCGCGUGCAGGAUGAAGGCCCUCGGGUUGUAAACUGCUUUUGUACGAAACGAAAAGCCUGGGGCUAAUAUCCCCGGGUCAUGACGGUACCGUAAGAAUAAGCACCGGCUAACUACGUGCCAGCAGCCGCGGUAAUACGUAGGGUGCAAGCGUUAAUCGGAAUUACUGGGCGUAAAGCGUGCGCAGGCGGUGCUGUAAGACAGGCGUGAAAUCCCCGGGCUCAACCUGGGAAUUGCGCUUGUGACUGCAGUGCUGGAGUGCGGCAGAGGGGGAUGGAAUUCCGCGUGUAGCAGUGAAAUGCGUAGAUAUGCGGAGGAACACCGAUGGCGAAGGCAAUCCCCUGGGCCUGCACUGACGCUCAUGCACGAAAGCGUGGGGAGCAAACAGGAUUAGAUACCCUAGUAGUCC
rnacentral:rRNA from 1 species